CACGUAGGGGACGAGCGUUGUCCGGAUUCAUUGGGCGUAAAGCGCGCGUAGGCGGCUCGGAAAGUCGGUCGUGAAAUGCCGGGGCUCAACCCCGGGACUGCGUCCGAUACUCUCGAGCUGGAGGCAGGUAGGGGAGAUCGGAAUUCCUGGUGUGAGCGGUGGAAAUGACGCAGAUAUCAGGGAGGAACACCGGUGGCGAAGGCGGGAUCUCUGGGCCUUGCCUGACGCUGAGGCGCGAAAGCUAGGGGGAGCGAACAGG
rnacentral:rRNA from 1 species